rnacentral:rRNA from 1 species
UACAGGGGGGGCAAGCGUUGUUCGGAAUUACUGGGCGUAAAGGGCUUGUAGGUGGCCAACUAAGUCACACGUGAAAUCCCCAGGCUUAACCUGGGAACUGCGUGUGAUACUGGAUGGCUUGAAUCCGGGAGAGGGAUGCGGAAUUCCAGGUGUAGCGGUGAAAUGCGUAGAUAUCUGGAGGAACACCGGUGGCGAAGGCGGCGAUCCUGGACCGGUAUUGACACUGAAAAGCGAAAGCCAGGGGAGACAAACGGG